UGCGAGUGUUCUGGCGGCCAUCUCGGUGCUGUGUGUUCUGCCCAAACUGCACAAACCGUGAGACCAGGGCAAGAGACCCCAGGAGGAAUAGUGUUUCACGGCCUCAUGCUUUCUGAAAAUAUCAAAUGGCUUAUGCACUGAAGAGGGAUUGCCAACUAUUCCGAUAGAUAUCCUGAGAGACUGGCAUGAAAUCCACUGAUUUCCACCAUGAUUUUCCAACAUGCCUUCACAGCCCAUGUGGACCAAUCAGACACGGAGAGAAGAUGGUUAGAAGCUACUGUGAUUAUUCAGCACUGGCAGCCGACGCAAGAGGAGACAGGAUGAGUUGGAAAACAACACUUCUCU